rnacentral:rRNA from 1 species
CCUACGGGUGGCAGCAGUGAGGAAUAUUGGUCAAUGGGCGCGAGCCUGAACCAGCCAAGUAGCGUGAAGGAUGACUGCCCUACGGGUUGUAAACUUCUUUUAUAAAGGAAUAAAUUGAGGUACGUGUGCCUUUUUGUAUGUACUUUAUGAAUAAGGAUCGGCUAACUCCGUGCCAGCAGCCGGGGUAAUACGGAGGAUCCGAGCGUUAUCCGGAUUUAUUGGGUUUAAAGGGGGCGUAGGUGGAUUGUUAAGUCAGUUGUGAAAGUUUGCGGCUCAACCGUAAAAUUGCAAUUGAUACUGGCAGCCGUGAGUACAGUUGAGGUAGGCGGAAUUCGUGGUGUAGCGGUGAAAUGCUGAGAUAUCACGAAGAACUCCGAUUGCGAAGGCAGCCUACUAAACUGCAACUGACAUUGAUGCUCGAAAGUGUGGGUAUCAAACAGGAUUAGAUACCCUGGUAGUC